GAGCUCGUAGGCGGUUUGUCGCGUCUGCCGUGAAAGUCCGGGGCUCAACUCCGGAUCUGCGGUGGGUACGGGCAGACUAGAGUGAUGUAGGGGAGACUGAAAUUCCUGGUGUAGCGGUGAAAUGCGCAGAUAUCAGGAGGAACACCGAUGGCGAAGGCAGGUCUCUGGGCAUUAACUGACGCUGAGGAGCGAAAGCAUGGGGAGCGAACAGGAUUAGAUACCCUGGUAGUCCAUGCCGUAAACGUUGGGCACUAGGUGUGGGGGACAUUCCACGUUUUCCGCGCCGUAGCUAACGCAUUAAGUGCCCCGCCUGGGGAGUACGGCCGCAAGGCUAAAACUCAAAGGAAUUGACGGGGGCCCGCACAAGCGGCGGAGCAUGCGGAUUAAUUCGAUGCAACGCGAAGAACCUUACCAAGGCUUGACAUGAACCGGUAAUACCUGGAGACAGGUGCCCCGCUUGCGGUCGGUUUACAGGUGGUGCAUGGUUGUCGUCAGCUCGUGUCGUGAGAUGUUGGGUUAAGUCCCGCAACGAGCGCAACCCUCGUUCUAUGUUGCCAGCACGUGAUGGUGGGGACUCAUAGGAGACUGCCGGGGUCAACUCGGAGGAAGGUGGGGACGACGUCAAAUCAUCAUGCCCCUUAUGUCUUGGGCUUCACGCAUGCUACAAUGGCCGGUACAAAGGGUUGCGAUACUGUGAGGUGGAGCUAAUCCCAAAAAGCCGGUCUCAGUUCGGAUUGGGGUCUGCAACUCGACCCCAUGAAGUCGGAGUCGCUAGUAAUCGCAGAUCAGCAACGCUGCGGUGAAUACGUUCCCGGGCCUUGUACACACCGCCCGUCAAGUCACGAAAGUUGGUAACACCCGAAGCCGGUGGCCUAACCCCUUGUGGGAGGGAGCUGUCGAAGUGGGACUGGCGA
rnacentral:rRNA from 1 species